CGUCCUCUGCUGUGGACGACAGCGUGCGCAAACAUUCGCCUUGUCCCUUAAUUGCGACCGCGGGGAUGCAACGGAAGCCCGGCGUGCAAAUCCGCCCUGGUAGCGGGAAGCCCGAAGGCCUCCAAGCGUUCCCACUUGAACCACGGGUUCAAGGUCGUUUCGCGCGCAUCGCCAUCGGCGGAGGAUUC
rfam:Lysobacter concretionis Ko07 = DSM 16239 strain Ko07 contig6, whole genome shotgun sequence.